GCCCGGAUGGCGAAAUUGGUAGACGCAUCAGCUUCAGGUGCUGACGCCUUCACGGGCGUGGAGGUUCGAGUCCUCUUCCGGGCACCA
rnacentral:tRNA from 1 species